rnacentral:rRNA from 1 species
UGAGCUUCGGAGACCUUGCAACCCCACGGGGAGGUAGCACGACGGUAAAUAAAGCUGACCGCUUGCAAGUUGGCCGCACGGCUAGCAACACAAUCGAACUGACGGGGAACUCCUAAAGCCUACAGCACCAACCGUCCGGGGAAACUCGGGUGGGGCCCUCACGGGAUGGUAACAGCGUGUAGGAUAUAUGGACAAUCCGCAGCGGAGCUCCUAACGGCGAGAGCCCACGGGGAACGUUCACAGACUAAGUGAUUGUGGGCCAGGCUUGAAGCCUAGUCUAAGAUAUAGUCGGUCCCCGCCCGAAAGGACGGGGGAACAGCGUCCGUAGGUGAACCUGCGGAAGGAUCAUUACAGAGUUCAUGCCCUCACGGGUAGAUCUCCCACCCUUGCAUACAUACCUUUGUUGCCUUGGCGGGCCACGUCCGCGUGUCGGCUCCGGCUGGCUGCGCCCGCCAGAGGACCCAAACUCGUUUGUUUAGUGAUGUCUGAGUACUAUAUAAUAGUUAAAACUUUCAACAACGGAUCUCUUGGUUCUGGCAUCGAUGAAGAACGCAGCGAAAUGCGAUAAGUAAUGUGAAUUGCAGAAUUUAGUGAAUCAUCGAAUCUUUGAACGCACAUUGCGCCUCUUGGUAUUCCGAGGGGCAUGCCUGUCCGAGCGUCAUUAUGACCACUCAAGCCUGGCUUGGUGUUGGGGCUCGCGGUUCCGCGGCCCUUCAAAUCAGUGGCGGCGCCGUCCGGCUCUCAGCGUAGUAAUACUCCUCGCUACAGAGCCCGGGUGGAUGCUUGCCAGCAACCCCCAAUCUCACGGUUGACCUCGGAUCAGGUAGGGAUACCCGCUGAACUUAAGCAUAUCAAUAAGCGGAGGAAAAGAAACCAACAGGGAUUGCCUCAGUAACGGCGAGUGAAGCGGCAACAGCUCAAAUUUGAAAUCUGGCUCCCUCGGGGCCCGAGUUGUAAUUUGUAGAAGAUGCUUUGAGCGUGGCCCCGGUCUAAGUUCCUUGGAACAGGACGUCAUAGAGGGUGAGAAUCCCGUAUGUGACUGGGGCGCCUUCGUUCGUGUAAAGCUCUCUCGACGAGUCGAGUUGUUUGGGAAUGCAGCUCAAAAUGGGUGGUAAAUUUCAUCUAAAGCUAAAUAUUGGCCAGAGACCGAUAGCGCACAAGUAGAGUGAUCGAAAGAUGAAAAGCACUUUGGAAAGAGAGUUAAACAGUACGUGAAAUUGUUGAAAGGGAAGCGCUUGCAACCAGACUUGCACGCUGUUGAUCAUCCGAGGUUUUCCCCGGUGCACUCGGCAGCGCUCAGGCCAGCAUCGGUCUUGGUGGGCGGAUAAAGGCCUUGGGAAUGUAGCUUCUCUCGGGGAGUGUUAUAGCCCUCGGUGCAAUGCGCCCUACCGGGAUCGAGGACCGCGCUUCGGCUAGGA